ensembl:snRNA U4 U4 spliceosomal RNA
AGCUUUGCGCAGUGGCAGUAUCGUAGCCAAUGAGGUUUAUCCAAGGUGCAAUUAUUGCUAAUUGAAAACUUUGGUUUUCAUAUCAUUCAAAAAAAUUUAAUGAUUUCCUACUAAA